rnacentral:rRNA from 1 species
GAUGAACGCUGGCGGCGUGCCUAAUACAUGCAAGUCGAGCGAACGGACGAGAAGCUUGCUUUUCUGAUGUUAGCGGCGGACGGGUGAGUAACACGUGGAUAUCCUACCUAUAAGACUGGGAUAACUUCAGGAAACCGGAGCUAAUACCGGAUAAUAUUUUGAACCGCAUGGUUCAAAAGUGAAAGACGGUCUUGCUGUCACUUAUAGAUGGAUCCGCGCUGCAUUAGCUAGUUGGUAAGGUAACGGCUUACCAAGGCAACGAUGCAUAGCCGACCUGAGAGGGUGAUCGGCCACACUGGAACUGAGACACGGUCCAGACUCCUACGGGAGGCAGCAGUAGGGAAUCUUCCGCAAUGGGCGAAAGCCUGACGGAGCAACGCCGCGUGAGUGAUGAAGGUCUUCGGAUCGUAAAACUCUGUUAUUAGGGAAGAACAUAUGUGUAAGUAACUGUGCACAUCUUGACGGUACCUAAUCAGAAAGCCACGGCUAACUACGUG